rnacentral:rRNA from 1 species
UGGGGAAUAUUGGACAAUGGGGGGAACCCUGAUCCAGCCAUGCCGCGUGUGUGAAGAAGGCCUUAUGGUUGUAAAGCACUUUAAGCGAGGAGGAGGGUACUGGUAUUAAUACUACCAGCUACUGGACGUUACUCGCAGAAUAAGCACCGGCUAACUCUGUGCCAGCAGCCGCGGUAAUACAGAGGGAGCGAGCGUUAAUCGGAUUUACUGGGCGUAAAGCGUGCGUAGGCGGCUAAUUGAGUCGGAUGUGAAAUCCCCGAGCUUAACUUGGGAAUUGCAUUCGAUACUGGUUAGCUAGAGUGUGGGAGAGGAUGGUAGAAUUCCAGGUGUAGCGGUGAAAUGCGUAGAGAUCUGGAGGAAUACCGAUGGCGAAGGCAGCCAUCUGGCCUAACACUGACGCUGAGGUACGAAAGCAUGGGGAGCAAACAGG